rnacentral:rRNA from 1 species
AUUGAACGCUGGCGGCAGGCCUAACACAUGCAAGUCGAACGAGUGGCGGACGGGUGAGUAAUGUCUGGGAAACUGCCUGAUGGAGGGGGAUAACUUCUGGAAACGGUCGCUAAUACCACAUACCCUAAGGUGCACCACGAUGGGAUUAGCUGGUUGGUGGGGUAACGGCUCACCAAGGCGACGAUCCCUAGCUGGUCUGAGAGGAUGACCAGCCACACUGGAACUGAGACACGGUCCAGACUCCUACGGGAGGCAGCAGUGGGGAAUAUUGCACAAUGGGCGCAAGCCUGAUGCAGCCAUGCCGCGUGUAUGAAGAAGGCCUUCGGGUUGUAAAGUACUUUCAGCGGGGAGGCGUUACCCGCAGAAGAAGCACCGGCUAACUCCGUGCCAGCAGCCGCGGUAAUUC